UACAGAGGGUGCGAGCGUUGUCCGGAAUCACUGGGCGUAAAGGGCGCGUAGGCGGCUUGAUAAGGUUGCGGUGAAAGCCCGGGGCUCAACCCCGGGUCGGCCGUGGCAACUGUCGAGCUGGAGCACUGUAGAGGCAGGUGGAAUCCGGGUGUAGCGGUGGAAUGCGUAGAGAUCCGGAGGAACACCAAUUGCGAAGGCAGCUCGCUGGAACGUAACUGACGCUGAGACGCGAAAGCGUGGGGAGCAAACAGG
rnacentral:rRNA from 1 species